GAAAUAGUCACUGCAAUCAGUCACGUCUCGUACCUCCAACAUUUCGGUUGACGGACAAAAAUUUGAAUCUCCCUCAUAAAAUAGACGACAAUGCGUUAGUUAUUAAUUAAUGCGUUAGUUAUUUAAUUAUUAACUUUCAAAUAUUAUUUACAUCAGUCAUUACGCAGAAUUACGUUUUGUAAAUACAGGCUAAUUGUAUGCAGCAGUGGAUCAUAUAUUAAAUUCUUGGGUAUAUGCUUGAAAGAGUCUUUAUUACCCAAUGAACUAUUACAUUAUUUGAAGAGAUUUUCCGUUGAAGUAAAAGCAGACAGUGUAUGAUGUAAGUUUCUUGAUUAUCUUUCUGUACUAUGAUCUGUUGAAAAGUAAACUCAUAAAUAUUCAAUAUAACAUAUAGAAUCUGCCAUGCUGUAGAGCUUUAAUGAGGAUUUAUACACCGCUUCUACAAAUAUCCCCGCGCGAUUUUUGUCUUUAAAUUUAGACAAUCAUGGAAAUAAUAUCCGUAGACUUUUUUAAAACGCAUCUUGCCUUACUAUUUUGUAAAGCCAUUUUAUCUUUAGUUAAUAGAAACGUCCAUGAUCGCUAGAAAUAGUAACUCCCCCCCUCCCCCUACCACAAUGUUGGUUCAAAGCAUGGUUAUUGGACCACAAACCAACAUUGUAAACGGGGAGGGGGGGAAAUUGGGAGAUUUUUGAAAAGUCUACGAAUUAAUUUCCAUGAUUGUGCAUGGGAGAGUCCUGGGGCAUGCUCCCCCGGAAAACUUUCAAUUCCGACUCCAC